rnacentral:rRNA from 2 species
AUGCAAGUCGAACGGUAACAGGAAGCAGCUUGCUGCUUUGCUGACGAGUGGCGGACGGGUGAGUAAUGUCUGGGAAACUGCCUGAUGGAGGGGGAUAACUACUGGAAACGGUGGCUAAUACCGCAUAACGUCGCAAGACCAAAGAGGGGGACCUUCGGGCCUCUUGCCAUCAGAUGUGCCCAGAUGGGAUUAGCUUGUUGGUGAGGUAACGGCUCACCAAGGCGACGAUCCCUAGCUGGUCUGAGAGGAUGACCAGCCACACUGGAACUGAGACACGGUCCAGACUCCUACGGGAGGCAGCAGUGGGGAAUAUUGCACAAUGGGCGCAAGCCUGAUGCAGCCAUGCCGCGUGUAUGAAGAAGGCCUUCGGGUUGUAAAGUACUUUCAGCGGGGAGGAAGGUGUUGUGGUUAAUAACCGCAGCAAUUGACGUUACCCGCAGAAGAAGCACCGGCUAACUCCGUGCCAGCAGCCGCGGUAAUACGGAGGGUGCAAGCGUUAAUCGGAAUUACUGGGCGUAAAGCGCACGCAGGCGGUCUGUCAAGUCGGAUGUGAAAUCCCCGGGCUCAACCUGGGAACUGCAUUCGAAACUGGCAGGCUUGAGUCUUGUAGAGGGGGGUAGAAUUCCAGGUGUAGCGGUGAAAUGCGUAGAGAUCUGGAGGAAUACCGGUGGCGAAGGCGGCCCCCUGGACAAAGACUGACGCUCAGGUGCGAAAGCGUGGGGAGCAAACAGGAUUAGAUACCCUGGUAGUCCACGCCGUAAACGAUGUCUACUUGGAGGUUGUGCCCUUGAGGCGUGGCUUCCGGAGCUAACGCGUUAAGUAGACCGCCUGGGGAGUACGGCCGCAAGGUUAAAACUCAAAUGAAUUGACGGGGGCCCGCACAAGCGGUGGAGCAUGUGGUUUAAUUCGAUGCAACGCGAAGAACCUUACCUGGUCUUGACAUCCACAGAAGAAUCCAGAGAUGGAUUUGUGCCUUCGGGAACUGUGAGACAGGUGCUGCAUGGCUGUCGUCAGCUCGUGUUGUGAAAUGUUGGGUUAAGUCCCGCAACGAGCGCAACCCUUAUCCUUUGUUGCCAGCGGUUAGGCCGGGAACUCAAAGGAGACUGCCAGUGAUAAACUGGAGGAAGGUGGGGAUGACGUCAAGUCAUCAUGGCCCUUACGACCAGGGCUACACACGUGCUACAAUGGCGCAUACAAAGAGAAGCGACCUCGCGAGAGCAAGCGGACCUCAUAAAGUGCGUCGUAGUCCGGAUUGGAGUCUGCAACUCGACUCCAUGAAGUCGGAAUCGCUAGUAAUCGUGGAUCAGAAUGCCACGGUGAAUACGUUCCCGGGCCUUGUACACACCGCCCGUCACACCAUGGGAGUGGGUUGCAAAAGAAGUAGGUAGCUUAACCUUCGGGAGGGCGCUUACCACUUUGUGAUUCAUGACUGGGGUGAAGUCGUAACAAGGUAACCGUAGGGGAACCUGCGGUUGGAUCACCUCCUUACCUUAAAGAA